GUCCAGUUUAAGGAAGAUCUACUGUACUUUGUAGGUGAUCUCUCCAGGUACCAAAUGACAUGAUGAGGGGAGAUGGCAUGCCCUGGAGCUCCCCAGAGAGCAACUGUACCAUCAUGGAGUCCUUUGAGGAAGCUCACCUGCUCUGUCCAGGAGAAGUAAAUUAUAGGAGUGAAGCCACCGGAGGAAGUAGAGAAAACACAAUAUAACCAACAACUGUGACUAUGGGCACCACGUCUGUGACUUUCACGAACAAUAUGUGCUGGAAUUCCAAUCCUCAGCUGUUAAGAGGCUUCACAGACUCCAAAGUGUGGGGCUCCUCCCAUUCCUGUCUUGGUACUACCGUUCCUACCUUCUUCCUGCUGCUCUCUACAUUGCCUGCUCUUCUGAUUUACCUCUUCUCUGAAGCCUUCCCCUCAAGUUGUUUGCUACAAGCAAAUCCAAGUAUGUCACAGAGUUUGAAGUGUUCUCCGUCUAGUGGGUGCUUUUGUAGGAACAGAAGUAGCAACUGGAAGUAUGAGCUGUUUAUCAGUCCCACCAAAGGCAUUUGGGGUCAUCUCAGGAAGCCUGACAAGUACAUGAUCUGGCUAAGAAAGCUCAAAGUAGUUUGUAUCACACACCAGAGGGAAAAAAUGCACCAACUAAAUGGGGCUGAGGUGGAGAGAAGACCUUUCUGUUUAUCUACAACUGGGGAGAAUUCACUGACUUUGCAGCUAUCAAUAAGGCCAUGCUCCAGUUUGUGGAUACGAUGUCUCAUUGGGUGCCUGGCUCUUAGGAAAGGCUUCUAUAAAUGGCAGCCAUGGUUAUUCAUCAUAAUACAUCCUGUUCUAUUCAAUUCUGGACACAUGAGAGCUGUCAUGGGUAAGUUGACUUGUUCAUCUCUGGACUCAAGAUAAAACUGAGGUCAUUUUCAGACCUCCGAAAGAGAAAUGCCUCAGUAAAAGAGGAAGACGUCAAGACUGGCAAAUGCAGCAAAGGGCAUGCGUUGGGCAUUAAAAGUUUCCAUCGGCUUUGGCAAUCAGGCAGGUGACUGACACUGUUCAGUGGAGUGGAAGACUGACAGCAGAAGGGAGGUUGGGACACGUUUACCUUAGGGCUAGAAAACGCCUUUGGAAAAAUUCUAGCAGGGUUGAGCGAGGACCACAGUCCCACACAGACACUAAAAUCAUCCCAUUUCCUUGGAUUUUUGCAUUUGACUCCUAGAGAAAGCUUCUCA
rnacentral:lncRNA from 1 species